AUGAAAUUCUAUUAUACCAAAGGGACUUGGUAUAGGCGAAGGCAGCCCUCUAUGUAAAAACUGACGUUGAAGGACGAAGGCACAGAGAACAAACAGGAUUAGAUACCCAAGUAGUCUUUGCAGUAAAUGAUGAAUGUCAUAGGUUAGAUUAAGCUUUAAUUAAUUAGUUUAUCAGUAAUGAACUAACUAUUAAACAAUAUUUAGUCUAUAAAUGAAAGUGUAAGCAUUCCACCUCAAGAGUAAUGUGGCAACGCAGGAACUGAAAUCACUAGACCGUUUCUGACACCAGUAGUGAAGUAUGUUGUUUAAUUCGAUGAUCCACGAAAAACCUUACCACAAUUUGAAUAUUUUACAGGAGUUGCACGGCUGUUUUCAGUUAAUGUUGUGAAACUGUGGUUUCCAUGAAAUUAACGCAAUCCCUGGCUUUAUUUUUUUUUUAUUACGAUAAAGCAUUUGAUCCAGGAUUUGGAAAGAAAAAGGGGACAAAGACAAGUCAUCAUGGCCUUGAUAUUGUGGGCUAUAGACGUGCCACAUAUUCCUACACAAAGAGAUGCAAAAAUGUGAAUUUAAGCUAAUCUCUAAAAAUAGGAUAUAAAUUUUAAGGAUUAUAGUCUGAAACUCGACUAUAUGAAUAAGUAAUUACUAGUAAUCGUGAAUCACCAUGUCACGGUGAAUUUACCUUGGAUUGGUACUAACCACUCGUCACAUGCUGAAAAGAGCAUGCGCAAUAAGUUUGCUUUCUUGAUGAUCAGUAAAAAGAAUAAGCAGGUUCUAUAUUCUAUUAUUAAG
rnacentral:rRNA from 1 species